UAACUCUUUUCAGCUAAUAUAAUAUAGCAACAUCUCAUAUUGAUUACUGAUAUAAAAACAAAGUAAGCACGCACAACAUAUGUUUCUCACUGUCUGUUCACAGACGAAGUCGAAACCGAAAUUUAUUUCCAUCAAUUUCAUCUGUUGUUACAGCUGCUUCUUGAUGGAUGUUAAAUGGAUUUUCGCACACGAUGACGUCAAUUAAAUUAGAUUCUGCAAUAAAUACACUAAUGGAAAAUUGCUGCCCACACCGAGAGCAGAGCUGUGGCUGUGACUGUGGCUGUGGGUGUGGGCGUGGCUGUGGGUGGGCAUCACGGAACGGAAGCACUGCCCGGCGGCUUAUUUGGCGGCAACACCUGAAACCAGAGAGCCACACCCAAGACUCCGCCCCCCUCCCUUGACCAAUGUUUGGCACCCUGCGGCGCCUACUUACAUGCUGUUAAUUUAUGCUAAACGCAUCGCGUCUUUGCAUUUAAUUGUGAAAUUAAAUUGGUUGCGAUUGAUGUGGAAACGAUGCGAGACGGAGCAGGGGAGGGGAAAAGGUAGAGGCAUUGUGGUUAAAUCCUUAAAUAACCCUUUUGGGAUAUAGCUUAAGAGAUUUGACUAAGAUUGGUAUUAGAAACGGAAUCAAUUGACAUCAAUCUAAUUUUGAGAAGCUUGGCAAUGGCUACAUCUGGAAAAAGUAAAAUAAAUUUUAUAAAUAUACAUAUAUACUUUAGUCAUUCAGUAA